GUGUCAGCAGCCGCGGUAAUACAGAGGUCCCGAGCGUUGUUCGGAUUCACUGGGCGUAAAGGGUGCGUAGGUGGUGACGUAAGUCGGAUGUGAAAUCUCGGAGCUUAACUCCGAAACUGCAUUGGAAACUGCGUUGCUAGAGGGUUGGAGGGGGGACUGGAAUGCUUGGUGUAGCAGUGAAAUGCGUAGAUAUCAAGCGGAACACCAGUGGCGAAGGCGAGUCCCUGGACAACACCUGACACUGAGGCACGAAAGCUAGGGGAGCAAACAGGAUUAGAUACCCUGGUAGUCC
rnacentral:rRNA from 1 species